UACGGCCACAUCUUGUGGAAACGCCGGCUCCCCUUCGAUCACAAAAGUUAAGCAACGUCGUGACUGGUCAGUACCUAGAUGGCGGAUUUCUGGGAAUACCAGGUCAG